rnacentral:rRNA from 1 species
UACGUAGGGUGCGAGCGUUGUCCGGAAUUAUUGGGCGUAAAGAGCUCGUAGGCGGCUUGUCGCGUCGGCUGUGAAAACCCGGGGCUCAACCCCGGGCCUGCAUUCGAUACGGGCAGACUAGAGUUCGGUAGGGGAGUCUGGAAUUCCUGGUGUAGCGGUGAAAUGCGCAGAUAUCAGGAGGAACACCGGUGGCGAAGGCGGGACUCUGGGCCGAUACUGACGCUCAUGCACGAAAGCGUGGGGAGCAAACAGG